rnacentral:lncRNA from 1 species
ACUGCUAGCUCAGCUGUCAUUCUGUAAGAUUUAGUUAUUUUAAUUUCGAUUUUAUUUUAAGUAGACAAUUUUAUUUUUCAUCUUUUUCAUCGGUUAAAACAUGAAUUCGAAGAGAUCCAGCCUGCAAAACCGACACUUAUCUCCUUUUGAAAAUAAGAUGGUCUGUCCGAGUCGACGACAUUUCAAAUAUGGACAUUGUUUUAACAAUGAACUGAAACACGGCUGCUUGCACAGAUCAACUGUAGAAUGUUAAAAAAUGAGGUGUAUUUACGACUAGAUCUUUCUUUCUUGACUGAGAGCAGAAAAUAUCCAGACGGCUGAGUUAUUUGAUAAUAACCCUCUUCACCAUGAUUAGAAUUUAGAAGUCAAGAGUCAUGUUUGAAUACUCAGGGUUUUAAACGGUAACAUGGCCGUGCGGUCUCCGGCUGAAUAGAAUAGAACCGACCCUCUACUGUCUAAGGGUGUCGUAAAAGGCGACUAAUGACUUUGCGGGGGAAACCAACAUCGCAUCGGUGGAUUCGUACGACUCGGAUUGGGGUAUAAUGUUUUCAUAAUGAUUUUUAAACUAUCAUUUUGUAUUUUCAUUUACUGUUAAAUUAAAAGUUCUAUCGUCGCGUUAGCUUUAUGUGGGAUUACUCGCUUACUUUGAAGUUGAUUUUAUCAUUAUAAUCCUAUCCGGACUGCGAGUGCAAUCUCGCAUGUCUGCGAUGAACCCGAAUCUACAUUUGUGCCCAAGGCGAGGACGGAGUCCGGUCGGGUGACUCUAAUAAAAAUAGUUAGUUCAUGCCACUGUAUGUAGGUCGAGCCUCUCGGGGUUCCCUCAAGACUCUUCCGGACUUGAAAGCUAUCUGUAUCCCCCUACUAGGCGUCUACAGCCUAGGUCACAUUCCUUCGACUCUCCUGGUUAUAGAGGAUUGAGACAGGAGUGUGAUAGCUACCAAUGUGCAACAUUUAUCACAUUGCAUAUUCGUUGUGUAUUUAGUUCGUCUGCUGUUCACGGGCGCAGUGUGCUUUCUGGCUUAUGUGCUCGUAACAGCCACGUCAUUAUUGAAAGUUAAAACGAUAAACACAAUGUUAAAAUAUGAAUGAGGAAUGUUGCACCUCACGAAGUGGGUACGCAUGAACGUCGCCAGCACGGCAUCUCAUAGAUGACAAUGUUAUGUACGUUGACUAUAUUUUCUCUAAAUCAGGCCGGUAUACCUUCUUGACGUUUAUUAUCGUUUUCGAAUAUGUUCUUUUUACAUUUUCAUCUAUGAGGGAUUUUUAUUCAGUAUGCUAGACAGUCGGCGGUGUGUACCUGCUACGUGACUUCGUUAAUGUUUGCAAGGGAUUUAAUGGUGUUGAUGUUACAUAAUUAUGAGAGUACAAUGUUAAGUUUAACGUUGCUAUGUACCUCGUUAGUUAUUGUAUGUACUGUGAUUUAAGAUCUUUCUCCGAUUUUUGUCUUUAUUGUAUAUUUAGAUUCGUUUCGUUUUGUAAGUUUUUACUGAUUUGCAAUUUUCGUUAGUUAAUGUUCGUAUUUUAAGUUCUUUUAGUUCGGGGUGUAAGUGACUCUACCUAGACCUUUUGAGUCAAAGCCAACCUCUCCUGCCCGCGGCGCACCCUGCCGACCAACGAACGAGGCUCUGGCGGAGGCGUGGUCGCACAAGAACCGACAACUCAGGUUCCAUUGACCGCAAGCAACAAACAUCAUCGAGCGCGCGACCACGUCAACUUUUUUUUUUCUUUUCGCUACGCAUUUGGCAAGUGUUUUUGUAACAGUUUUGUACACUUCCUUAAUGCGUAUUUUUAAUAAUAAUAAUAUAUCGUAGAUUUAUGUGUAAGAUUAAUAAUAAUAUUGCUGUCAUUUUAUGUACUCGCCCAUAAAUAUUAAAGUGGGGUUUUAAAAUGAUGCACUUUGCAAAUAUUAUAGGUUCUCAAGGCCGAUUUAGAUGUAAGUUUUCAAUAUCUUUGUCAUUUUUAAUAUAAUCUAAGAAUCCAUUAUUAUAAUGUGGAUACCUAGCUAUCUGUAGGCCGAUUUACAUUAAGAUUUUGAUAUUUGUGUCAUUAAUAAUUAUUAUGAUUAGUAUGUAUCCAUGUUUCUGAAAUGGAGUUUAGUAUUUGGAACAAUACUUAUGGGUAAAUGUGAACGGCUUUUGGUAUACAACUCGUUCUUUACUUCUUCAUAUUUAUAUUAUAACUACAUAUCUAAUCAAUUUGUCUGAACAAUUUACUUAAUCUCACGUAUUUACGGAUUUCCUUAAAAACGUAUUUGUGUAUCUUAACCGUAGAAUUAAAUUGGUGUGUAGUGAAAA